rnacentral:misc_RNA from 1 species
GGUCAAUCUCUCCCAAGAAGAGAAACUUGCAAGUGAAGAUGGUUCACAGCAGAUAUUCUAUGGACAAGAAAUGGGUGCUGGUGAUGAGUUGGUUUUGGGUGCCAAUGAGCAAGGAAUUGGACUUGGUGUUCCGCAAAUCUAUCAACAGCCUGUUUCUUGCAUGUCUUCUCAGGUCUGUCCUGAGAAUCCCACAAUGGAACAGCCUUGGAGCAACCUGUCCUAUCCUACUGUGAAUCCUGAUCCAAGGAUGCAAAAUUUUUGCUCUGUCAAUAAUACCAUCAAUCAAUUCAAUAGCUGGACCUGACAUGGGAUUGUGGAUGCUGGAUAUACGAAAUAUGACCAACAUAGUAUAUAUAUUAGCUUCAUCUCGUCUAUAUAACCUUUUUUCCUCUAGUUAGUCAAUGAGAUUAUGGACUGAUC